GGGUGAGUAACACGUAACUGAUCUGCCCCAUAUUUGAGGGAUAACCAUUGGAAACAGUGGCUAAUACCGGAUAGCAGCGCGCUAGUUAGAGAGUCGCGCUUAAAGCGAUAGAGCGAUAUGGGACGAGGUUGCGUUCCAUCAGCUAGUUGGUGAGGUAAGGGCUCACCGAGGCGAUGACGGAUAGGGGAUCUGAGAGGGUGGCCCCCCACACUGGGACUGAGACACGGCCCAGACUCCUACGGGAGGCAGCAGUAAGGGAUAUUGCACAAUGGACGGAAGUCUGAUGCAGCGACGUCGCGUGGGCGAAGAAGGUUUUCGGAUCGUAAAGUCCUUUUCUAUGUGACGAGGAAGGACGGUAGCAUAGGAAUAAGUGUCGGCUAACUACGUGCCAGCAGCCGCGGUAAAACGUAGGACGCGAGCGUUAUCCGGAGUUACUGGGCGUAAAGGGCGCGCGGGCGGUUUGUUAAGUUGCCUAUGAAAGGUACUGGCUAAACUGGUAUAAGUUAGGUGAAACUGGCAAGCUAGAGUGAAAUAGAGGGAAGUGGAAUUCCGGGUGUAGUGGUGAAAUGCGUAGAUAUCCGGAGGAAUACCGGUGGCGAAGGCGGCUUCCUGGAUUUCGACUGACGCUGAGGCGCGAAAGCGUGGGUAGCGAACGGGAUUAGAAACCCCGGUAGUCCACGCUGUAAACGAUGUACAUUAAGCGUUCGGUUACGUGAGUAAUUGAGUGUUGCAGCAAACGCGAUAAAUGUACCGCCUGGGGAGUACGGUCGCAAGGCUAAANCUCAAAGGAAUUGACGGGGGCCCGCACAAGCAGCGGAGCGUGUGGUUUAAUUCGAGGCUACGCGAAGAACCUUACCUGGGUUUGACAUGUCGGUAGUACGGAAGCGAAAGCGGAAGGACCUUUCGGGGAGCCGUCACAGGUGCUGCAUGGUUGUCGUCAGCUCGUGCCGUGAGGUGUUCGGUUAAGUCCGCAAACGAGCGCAACCCUCGGUGCUAGUUAUAAGUGUCUAGCAUGACUGCCCGUGGCAAACGGGAGGAAGGUGGGGAUGACGUCAAAUCAGCAUGGCCUUAAUAUCCGGGGCGACACACACGCUACAAUGGUCGGUACAAUGGGUGGCGAAGGGGCGACUUGGAGCGAAUCC
rnacentral:rRNA from 1 species